rnacentral:lncRNA from 1 species
GUUUUUGCUUCCAGCAAGACAACGUGGUGUGUUUCCAUUGCAUGCACUGAAGCACCUGACUGAAUGAGUCCGAGUGACAGAAGUCAGGAUUGAGAACAGCCUGUGGAUCUAGCAGAUCCUCUUGAAUCUAUGUAUUACCUGAAUGAAACAUUCAAUGUCAUAAAAAAUAGCCUUUCUUUAUAUUAGUCUCCAGGGCAAUUUCUCCUAAGGUGCCUUAAUAGAAUUACUAAUACUUCAAAUCAUCCUAUACAUUCAUCAACAUCAGUGUUUUCUCAUCAGUAAAUUUACUCAUAGCUUUUACGCAGCUUUUCCCCACAUUUUUUGGCUGCUGAUAUGAGUACUCUGGGUAUGGAUGUAAUAUUCGGGAAGUUGCGUGUGUGCAGUGUGAUUGCUGAUAUCAAGUGUGCUUCCCAAAAGCACCAGAUGCGGUUCUAAAUCAAGCUGAGCCUCCGAGCUUUGGGAAGUGGCUGAUAUCACAGAGCCUCAGGAAGACUGUAAAGGUGUUGCCAAAUGGCACAUGUCCAAUUAGCUUCCUCAGUGGCAUAUUUAGGACAACUAGGGGAGACUGGUGGAUACGGGAGACUUACGGCUCACUCUUUCAGGGGUGAGAACUGAAGAGACAGUGACGAGGUAGAGUCAGAUGUUCAGUCAAAUGACUUCAAAGUAACAGGUUACCACUCAUCAAAUGAGCCAUGACAAACACUCCUGUGAGCCGUCUUAGCCAAAGGCACAAAUCAGGUGAGUUGAGACGGUUUAGUCUACCGUAGAAAAGAUUUG